rnacentral:miRNA from 10 species
AUUUCCAGAAUCACUUUUCCCGGUUUGACUUUUCACCUCAUUCACUUUGCACCUUGUUUACUUUGCACAUUAUGGACCAAUUAAACACCAAAUAAGAUUAUUUACAACACUAUUCACAUGGUGAGUGGUCAUCAUAUAAGAUCGAUUGGGCCGCGAAUUGCGUAUCCGACAUC